CUACUGCAUGGCCACUUUUGGAGAAAACCUGGUUCUCAGGACUCCUGCCUGCUUAGGACAAGUAAAAGCUUCCAUCUCAAGAGGCAGGACUUCAGGAGCAGAGCCUGUGCCUCUGGGAGGGCAGGCUGAAGAGGCCACUUCCUCCCACAAAGGCUUCCAGUGCUUUAGACUCUGAUUCACUCAGGUGAGUUGCACAACUUUAUGGAUGCCACAAAUCAUAUCACUCUCAUUCUGGGGAUUUUUCAAGUGUGGGAAUUUGCCUCCCCCACUACCGCCUACCUAGACAGGUGCUAGAAUAUAAUAGGUGCUCAGUAAAUAAUGUGGGUGGAUUAAUCACCCAAAGUUGAGUGGAAGCCAACAGUCAUGGGUUGUAGACUCUCCCAUCUCUGCCUCUCCAGGAAAAAGCAAGGACUCUGGGGUAGCAAGCUAGGGUUUGAGGCUCAGUUAUGCCUGUUACUUGGCUCUUUUAUCUUGGCAAGUGCUGACUCUGCUCGGUUUCUUGGUGUUCUCCUCUGUCCAGUGGUAGAAUUGUGUGACCUGACUCUCUCUCUCUCUCUAUAUAUAUGUAGGCUGCUUUUUCUGGGCAGGUCCUGAGGCUGAGUAUAGGCUUUAAAUACACAUUUCUUCUCAGAUUGAGGUUUGUCCAGGCUGAUCACUCAUCCUCCUGCUCUGCCCAUCCCCCCAAUCCCCUUACACAGCGGGAGCCUUGCAGUUGGUUUCCUGUGACUCCAACUACAAGCGAGCGGGUUUUCUCCUUCCCUUCCUUGACCUCACCCAGCAAGCACUCCAGAGACAGUCAAAGCAAACAGAACUUGAGCGACCUGGGCAGGAAAUGUAGAACAAAGGAGGGCUUCUUUUAUCAGCUGUUCCCUUCUGUUAGAAGAUAAAUUGUGAGCAAUAAACUUAAAAAAAAAAAAAAACUGUAACAGAAUAAAAAUAAGUUAGAUAAUACUUUGAUGAAAUGGAG
rnacentral:lncRNA from 10 species